rnacentral:rRNA from 1 species
UACAGAGGUGGCAAGCGUUGUUCGGAAUUACUGGGCGUAAAGCGCACGUAGGCGGAUUGUUAAGUCGGGGGUGAAAUCCUGGAGCUCAACUCCAGAACUGCCUUCGAUACUGGCGAUCUCGAGUUCGGGAGAGGUGAGUGGAACUGCGAGUGUAGAGGUGAAAUUCGUAGAUAUUCGGAAGAACACCAGUGGCGAAGGCGACUCACUGGACAUGUAUUGACGCUGAGGUGCGAAAGCGUGGGGAGCAAACAGGG